AGCUUUGCGCAGUGGCAGUAUCGUAGCCAAUGAGGUUUAUCCGAGGCGCGAUUAUUGCUAAUUGAAAAGAAAUAAAUUUUAAAAAGAGUAAAAAAAAAAAGGAAAAUCUAAUAUUUAGAAUUUAAAACCUACAACUUUGA